AAUAUAGUUACGAUUCCAACUCCACUCUUCUUCUUUCCCCCAUUCGAACAAAACCCUUAUUUCAUCCAUCUUCAAAGCUCCGUGUGUUUCCAAGUUCCAAAUUGACGAAGUCUAAUGGCGAAGAAGAAACCCAAGUCUUCUCAGGCGCCGGCGAAGAAGAAAGCCCUUCCUCCUCCGCAUUCCGAGCUUCCGCCGUCCUAUUCAGUUUCAGGUGCCCUGCAGCCUGAUCCGCGUCUCCCGGUGAGGCUGUUUGCCUGAUUUGGUUGUUUUGAACACUGUUGUUGCUGGGAAAUGGCUUGAUGCUGUUCUCAAGGACAAUGUUCCUGAAGUUCUUCCUAAGAUCUUCUGGUGGAUUCAUGAGAUGAGAGGUCAUUAUUUCAAGGCGGAUUUAGUUAAGCAUCUUCCUUCUGUUUUGUCUUUUGUUUUGGUUUGAGUAGUUGUCUCCAGACCUUUGUUUUCUCUUUCAAGUAAUGAAAAUGCUUUCGUCUGCAAAUUUUAUUCUA